rnacentral:rRNA from 1 species
GACGAACGCUGGCGGCGUGCCUAAUACAUGCAAGUAGGACGCACAGUUUACAUCGUAGCUUGCUACACCAUAGACUGUGAGUUGCGAACGGGUGAGUAACGCGUAGGUAACCUGCCUAUUAGAGGGGGAUAACUAUUGGAAACGAUAGCUAAUACCGCAUAACAGUAUGUAACACAUGUUAGAUGCUUGAAAGAUGCAAUUGCAUCGCUAGUAGAUGGACCUGCGUUGUAUUAGCUAGUAGGUAGGGUAAAGGCCUACCUAGGCAACGAUACAUAGCCGACCUGAGAGGGUGAUCGGCCACACUGGGACUGAGACACGGCCCAGACUCCUACGGGAGGCAGCAGUAGGGAAUCUUCGGCAAUGGGGGGAACCCCUGACCGAGCAACGCCGCGUGAGUGAAGAAAGGUUUUUCGGAUCGUAAAAGCUCUGGUG